rnacentral:ncRNA from 1 species
CAUCGCGAGGUGAAAUCUGAAAGAAGCCGGCGGCAAACAUCUGACCUAACGGACAGAAACUUCAUACAAGGCAUUUGACCAUGGAUGAGAUUGCCGAACAAAUCAAAGUCCCAUAGCUAUUCGGAAUGGUUGGUGUAAAUGAAGUGGGUAUAAGAUGGAAAGACA